AUGAACGCUGGCGGCGUGCUUAACACAUGCAAGUCGAACGAUGAAGCUCAGCUUGCUGGGUGGAUUAGUGGCGAACGGGUGAGUAACACGUGAGUAACCUGCCCUUAACUCUGGGAUAAGCCUGGGAAACUGGGUCUAAUACCGGAUAGGAGCGUCCACCGCAUGGUGGGUGUUGGAAAGAUUUAUCGGUUUUGGAUGGACUCGCGGCCUAUCAGCUUGUUGGUGAGGUAAUGGCUCACCAAGGCGACGACGGGUAGCCGGCCUGAGAGGGUGACCGGCCACACUGGGACUGAGACACGGCCCAGACUCCUACGGGAGGCAGCAGUGGGGAAUAUUGCACAAUGGGCGCAAGCCUGAUGCAGCGACGCCGCGUGAGGGAUGACGGCCUUCGGGUUGUAAACCUCUUUCAGUAGGGAAGAAGCGAAAGUGACGGUACCUGCAGAAGAAGCACCGGCUAACUACGUG
rnacentral:rRNA from 1 species